rnacentral:lncRNA from 1 species
AGGUUCGUAGGAGGAGCCUUAUGUCGUAGGCCCUUGCCCAGUAGAUAAGAAAAGAUGUUCCGAAUCGGGAAGCCUACUCCUCGGGCUAUUUGGUACUUUAUAUUAUAUGCUUUCCGCGGCGAAAGACUCUUUCUAAAGACUAAAAAAAUGGUACAAGAAUUCCAAUUUUCAGUCGGGCGGAAUGAAAAAGAAAACAUUGAUUGAGAUCAAUUGAAGGAACACCAGCUCACGAACUUUGCCAAUCGAAUGGGCAGAACCUGACUCAUCAGAAGAGCUUCCGCCACCAAUCAAAUCAGAAUGAAAAUGUUUGGUUAUAUUUCAGAAUGUCUCAUAAUGAACGGAGAGGUUACC